rnacentral:rRNA from 1 species
UACGUAGGGUGCAAGCGUUGUCCGGAAUUAUUGGGCGUAAAGGGCUCGUAGGCGGUUUGUCGCGUCGGGAGUGAAACCUCGGCUUAACUCGGGCUUGCUUUCGAUACGGGCAGACUAGAGGUAUGCAGGGAGAACGGAAUUCCCGGUGUAGUGGUGAAAUGCGUAGAGAUCCGGAGGAACACCAGUGGCGAAGGCGACACGCUGGGCCGUACCUGACACUGAUGCGCGACAGCAUGGGGAGCAAACAGG